CUUUUUUACUCCAACACUUAUCAAACCAUCAGCAACCUCUUUGAGCCCUAAUUCUUUUAUAACUUUCUUGUUUUGUUCCACACGCAAGAGUCGUUGUCUUUCAUAUUCAGACAUGGGAAGUGGCGGUGGUGGAGGCAACUGCAAAAUUGAAAAAGUCAUGUCAAACAUGGUUGUGCAGCGUUAAAAUCCUCGAAUUAAACAUUUUCUAGUAAAUUAAUUAUAAAAAUAUAUAUUACUAAUUUACUUUUAUUUAGGUUUAUCUAAUUAAGAAACAGUCAGUGUGGCCGAAUAGCUCAAUACAAUCUUUGUGGAUUGUGGUAUUUCUUCUUUAAUUUUAUUAAGGUUUAUUUAAUUUAGAACUCUAAUACAUAAAAUUAGUUGUACCUGCUCAGCAAUCAUCUCAUCCUCUCCACUUUCUUGGUCGUCACUUGUAUUGCCUUCCAAUUGUAAUUUCCUUUUAACACUUCCUCUCUCCUGCUCAGCAUCUUUGGAUCGAGUAAUCCUUCUUCCUACGAUCUCAGGAGACCUCCC
rnacentral:lncRNA from 1 species